AAAUCUACCCCUCAACUUUCCUUCUUCAGUCCUCAACUACUACUACAAUCAACUCUACAGCGACAAAAAUCACGCUCUCAAAUUUUUUUUUUUUUUUCUCAUGUCUGUGUGGCUUCAGUUUUAUCUCAGCUAAGCUAUAUAAAAAAAAAAAAAAAAGAGUUGUCUCUUCUAGUUCUUCUUCUUUUCGAUCCGAAAGUCCAAAACCCUAGCUCCGAUUGAAAGAAAGAGGGAGAUCGGAAUCGUUGAGCAUGGAACGAAUCGUCGGCGGCAAGUACAAGCUCGGCCGCAAGAUCGGCAGUGGAUCCUUCGGCGAAAUCUUCCUCGCUACUCAUGUAGAUUCCUUUGAGAUCGUCGCCGUUAAGAUCGAAAAUAGUAAAACAAAGCAUCCGCAGUUGCUUUACGAGGCCAAGUUAUACAACAUUCUUCAAGGAGGAAGGGGUAUUCCUAAUAUAAGAUGGUCUGGGAUAGACGGUGAGGAUAAUGUACUUGUGCUUGAUUUGUUGGGGCCGAGUCUCGAGGACCUGUUGGUGUAUUGCGGGAGGAAGUUCUCGUUGAAGACGGUGUUGAUGUUGGCUGAUCAAAUGAUUACGAGAAUUGAGUACGUGCACUCCAAAGGAUUUUUGCAUAGAGACAUAAAACCUGACAACUUCCUCAUGGGUCUUGGUCGGAAAGCAAAUCAGGUCUACAUAAUUGAUUUUGGGCUUGCAAAAAGAUAUCGGGAUGCAACAACCAAUCGUCAUAUUCCUUACAGGGAGAAUAAAAACUUGACGGGGACUGCGCGUUAUGCAAGUUGCAAUACUCAUCUUGGAAUCGAGCAAAGCCGGCGGGAUGAUUUGGAAUCACUUGGAUAUGUGCUUUUAUAUUUUUUGAGAGGAAGCCUUCCAUGGCAGGGUUUAAAAGCUGCUACAAAGAAGCAAAAGUAUGACAAAAUAUGUGAGAAGAAGUUAUCGACUCCUAUUGAGGUUCUCUGCAAAUCGCAUCCGGUGGAGUUUGCUUCAUACUUUCAUUACUGUCACUCACUAACAUUUGAUCAGCGGCCUGAUUAUGGAUUCUUAAAGCGUCUCUUCCAUGACUUAUUUGAUCGGGAAGGGUAUGAGUUAGAUUACAUAUUUGAUUGGACAAUCAUAAAGUACCAGCAGUCUCAAAAGAGUAGAACCCAACCUCGAUUAUCUCCAGUUCCCAGAGGGAGCAGCAGCCAUGCAAUGCCAAUGGAUGUGGACAAUCAUCAAGGUGUUAAUGCUUACCCAGCUGAAGCAACAGAGCGCAUUAGAACUGGAAAUUCUAGCGGUCCUGGUGUUCGGAUGCACUUUAAAUCACCAAUGACCAAGAAUGUAAAUUCUGAGAAUCCUAUCGAGAAGAAUGUUCUGAGUGAAGCACACAUGGCCUCUACUUCAUAUUCACUUGCUGGUACCUCCAAACGAAAUUCCUCAAAGCCUAUUUUGCCCUCUGAAGCAACAAAUCCUGGUAAUGGAAAUGGCAAUAGAAUGGGUCCUUCGAGUAGCUGGAUUUCAUCACUGCCGCGCAUCUCUUCUGCGAAGUGAUGUGCUAUGGAUCUGCUCAAGAAGAUUCUAGUGAUACAAUAUUUGAAGCUGCAAAGGUGUGGGGAUUCGAUGUUAUGUUUCUGUUAUGUAUGUGAUCAAGAAGAUUCUAGUGAUGCAUCUGUGGAGGCUGCAAAAUGUGUCGCUAAUUUGAUGUGUUGCAUUAGCUCCUCUAUUGAUGCCAGCAUGCGUAAUUUUUUCUUAAGGAUUUUUCUUCUGCUACAGCUAGUUUGAAGAUGGAAUAUGGCAGGCUAAUACCAUUUAUGGAUGGUAUAUGAAGACCAUAAAAACCUCUUCUCUGCAAGCUACUACUACUGGUCAGGAAAGAUGCCAUCCCAGUGCUUACCGGAGAAGUCUGCAUAAAAAGAAAUGUUGACAACAUGGAAUUGAUAUGUUGACCGUAUGGAGUUUUUGUAUGCUAGUUCUUGAAAUUUGGAGAUGUCAUGAAAAUUGCACCCUUGAUUUCAACAAAAAAUUAUGAAAUUAUUGGUAGCUUCUUCUCUGCAGGAAGAAGUGCUUCUGCUUGAAAAGGGGUGGGUUAGAUUAUUCCUUCUCUUACUAGGAGUGGUAUUUAAUGCACCACAAUUAUUACUUGGAUGUGUUGAAAUCUGCUGAGCCCUUUGUGCUGGAUGCUUGGGACUCAAUUAAUAUCCUGAUGUAGUCUAAUCGGGAGAUUAUAAGAAGCCUGAUAUCUUUCUUUUAUUGCUAUUCCAUUUUUGUCUGAAAGGUAAGCUUGUCCUGCCAGGUACAUCCCUCCUGAAUGCAGGUUAGUAUGGAAGUUUUUCAAUUACUUUUGGUUCGCUAGGAAUCUGUCACAAUUUUUAUGGAUUGUCAACUUAUUGCAUUGGGCACAUGGGAUUGUUUGGUGCAUUUGCACUAUGAGACUUGAAAUCCAGGCAGCUGACUUGUAUGUUAUUUCAAAGCACCAAUGUGGUGGCAUCAACUGUUUUAAGGAGCCAAGUGUUACCAUUGGACAUUUUAGGUAAAAUUAUGUGGAGAAUUAGAUUUGCUUUUAACAUUGGGGUUCUUUUUCUAUGUUUUAAUGCUGAUAUUCCUGUGGGCAUUAGUGUAUUUCAUGACUCCAGUCAAUGUGAGCUGUCCCAGGAAAAAAGAAGAAAUGUUUUAGGAAAUGAGUAGUGUGCAGCAGCAGUCAAGGUGAGAUCCCAAAAGGUAGUUAUAUUGUUAUCCACUCCUAUUAAAUCAUUCAUCAAAGAUGAUGAUUCCUAUUAAAGUUUGGCCUUUAAAAUGCAUUGAUAAUCUAUACUUCAUGUUCAUCUGCCAAGGAAACCCCAACCCAUUUCAGUUUUAUUAUUUGGGGUCACUGAUAUUUCAGGCAUUGUGGCAGUCUCUGGCUCCGAGUUGCUUGUACCAGAAGGAUGCCAGACAGGAAAAUAUUGUUUUGAAAGUUGGAACCAUAUAGAUUUUGUAGUGGCUACUGUUGUGAUCCAAUGCAUGCAGGAUUUGGUAAAGUUCUCGGUAUAUGUUUGCUGAAAAUUGGUUUAGCGUGCUGAAUGUGACCUGAGACUUGAUCUUGAGGAGUUUGCUUUGUCUAGUAAAUGAAAGAACCGCAGUGGUGUAUUGCAAAAUUUUUGGUCGUAAUUUACUUUCAUUCUACUGUU